rnacentral:rRNA from 1 species
ACAGGGGAUGCAAGUGUUAUCCGGAAUUAUUGGGCGUAAAGGGUCUCUAGGUUGAAAUUUAAGUCUUUUGUUAAAUAAUAAGGCUUAACCUUAAUAAUGCAAAAGAAACUGUAUUUCUAGAGUUUGGUAGAAGUUAAGGGAAUUUCCAGUGGAGCGGUGAAAUGCGUAGAGAUUGGAAGGAACACCAAAAGCGAAAGCACUUAACUGGGCCAUGACUGACACUGACAGACGAAAGCUAGGGGAGCAAACGA